rnacentral:rRNA from 1 species
GGUUAAGUUAGAAAGGGCGCACGGUGGAUCCUUGGCACUAGGAGCCGAUGAAGGACGGGACGAACACCGAUAUGCUUCGGGGAGCUGUAAGCAAGCUUUGAUCCGGAGAUUUCCGAAUGGGGAAACCCACUGCUCGUAAUGGAGCAGUAUCCAUAU